rnacentral:rRNA from 1 species
UGGGGAAUCUUGCGCAAUGGGCGACAGCCUGACGCAGCAACGCCGCGUGAGGGAAGAAGGCUUUCGGGUCGUAAACCUCUUUCAGGAGGGACGAAGCUUCGGGAGUGAAUAGCUCUCCGGAGUGACGGUACUUCCACAAGAAGCCCCGGCUAACUACGUGCCAGCAGCCGCGGUAAUACGUAGGGGGCUAGCGUUGUCCGGAAUCAUUGGGCGUAAAGAGCGCGUAGGCGGCCAGAUAAGUCCGGUGUGAAAGUCAAAGGCUCAACCUUUGAAUGCCGCUGGAAACUGUCUGGCUAGAGUCCGGGAGGGGCGAGUGGAAUUCCUGGUGUAGCGGUGAAAUGCGCAGAUAUCAGGAGGAACACCAAUGGCGAAGGCAGCUCGCUGGAACGGUACUGACGCUGAGGCGCGAAAGCGUGGGGAGCAAACAG